rnacentral:misc_RNA from 1 species
CCAAUAGCGUAUAUUAAAGUUGUUGCAGUUAAAAAGCUCGUAGUUGAAUUUCGGGAUUGGCGCAUCGGUCGUGCCUCACGGGGUAUGAACUGGUGCAGUCAAUUUCUCACCUUCUGGAGAACCGCGAUGUCCUUAAUUGGAUGCCGCGGGGAACCAGGACCUUUACUUUGAAAAAAUUAGAGUGUUUAAAGCAGGCAUUUUUGCUUGAAUACAUUAGCAUGGAAUAAUAAAAUAGGACGUCAUGGUUCUAUUUUGUUGGUUUCUAGGACCACCGUAAUGAUUAAUAGGGAUAGUUGGGGGCAUUAGUAUUCAAUUGUCAGAGGUGAAAUUCUUGGAUUUAUUGAAGACUAACUACUGCGAAAGCAUUUGCCAAGGAUGUUAUCAUUAAUCAAGAACGAAAGUUAGGGGAUCGAAGACGAUCAGAUACCGUCGUAGUCUUAACCAUAAACUAUGCCGACUAGGAAUCAGACGAUGUUAAUUUUUUAAUGACUCGUUUGGCACCUUACG